UUAAAUGUGUCUACUAGGUCUUAUUUUUAACAAAAGAGUAUCAAAUAAAUUCCACGGAUAUUUUUUUUCUGAAUUGUUCAUUUUUAGGCAAAUAAAGGCUUAAUAUAUAAGGUACAACUAAUGAAUUCAUCACAGUGUUAUCUCGGAUUUUAUGUUUAUAAUAAAAAUGAUAAUAAUCACUCGACAUUUGUGCUUCUAUUUCACAUUGUUUGUUUUUUAUUGCCCUAAAAAUGUAUUAUCUAAGAAAAAGAUUAACUCAUUUCAAAUACACUAUUUAAAUGUUAUUAUGUUUGUAAACUAAAAA